rnacentral:rRNA from 1 species
AGAGUUUGAUCCUGGCUCAGAACGAACGCUGGCGGCAGGCCUAACACAUGCAAGUCAAGCGAGAACGGUAGCUUCGGCUACUUAUUAGAGCGGCGAACGGGUGAGUAACACGUGAGUAACCUGCCCCGUAGUCUGGGAUAACAGUUCGAAAGGACUGCUAAUACCUGAUAAGCCCCCGCGACUGCGGUCGAGUGGGGAAAAGGGGGGGAUCCUUCGGGACCUCUCGCUAUGGGAUGGGCUCGCGGCCCAUUAGGUAGUUGGUGGGGUAAAGGCCCACCAAGCCUGCGAUGGGUAGCUGGUUUGAGAGAGCGAUCAGCCACACUGGAACUGAGACACGGUCCAGACUCCUACGGGAGGCAGCAGUGGGGAAUCUUGCGCAAUGGGCGAAAGCCUGACGCAGCCAUGCCGCGUGGGUGACGAAGGCCUUCGGGUUGUAAAGCCCUGUUGAGGGGGGCGAAAGUGUUGGUGGCCAAUACCCACCGGCCCUGACGGUACCCCUUUAGCAAGCACCGGCUAACUCCGUGCCAGCAGCCGCGGCAAUACGGAGGGUGCGAGCGUUGUUCGGAAUUACUGGGCGUAAAGCGCGUGUAGGCGGUAGUGUAAGUCGGGUGUGAAAGCCCUGGGCUCAACCGAGGAAUUGCGCUCGAAACUACACUGCUGGAGUACGGGAGAGGGAUGUGGAAUUCCUGGUGUAGAGGUGAAAUUCGUAGAUAUCAGGAGGAACACCCGUGGCGAAGGCGACAUCCUGGACCGAUACUGACGCUGAGACGCGAAAGCGUGGGGAGCAAACAGGAUUAGAUACCCUGGUAGUCCACGCCGUAAACGAUGGGCACUAGGUGCAGCGGGUAUGACCCCUGCUGUGCCGCAGUUAACGCAUUAAGUGCCCCGCCUGGGGAGUACGGCCGCAAGGCUAAAACUCAAAGGGAUUGACGGGGGCCCGCACAAGCGGUGGAGCAUGUGGUUUAAUUCGAAGCAACGCGAAGAACCUUACCUGGGCUUGACAUCCCUCGAAUCUGUCAGAGAUGACGGAGUGCCCUUCGGGGAGCGGGGUGACAGGUGCUGCAUGGCUGUCGUCAGCUCGUGUCGUGAGAUGUUGGGUUAAGUCCCGCAACGAGCGCAACCCUCGUCCUUAGUUGCCAUCAUUAAGUUGGGCACUUUAAGGAGACUGCCGGUGUCAAACCGGAGGAAGGUGGGGAUGACGUC